rnacentral:rRNA from 1 species
AUUAAAGUUGUUGCGGUUAAAAAGCUCGUAGUUGGACUUGAGGGAUUUAUAUAAAAGAAUUUUAGUUAAAACUAAAUAUUUUUUAUUAUUUUUUCCUUUCUUUGUAUUUUUUAAAAGAUGUAGGAGUAAAAUCUUAUAUUUUUUUUGGGGAAUAGAUAGUUUACUUUGAAAAAAUUAGAGUGUUUAAAGCAGACAUGACAUGUACAAUUGAAUAUUACAGCAUGGGAUAAUUGAAUAGGACAUUAACCUUAAUUUUGUUGGUUUUGGAGGUUAAUAGUAAUGAUAAAAAGGGAUAGUUGGGGUCACUUGUAUUUGAUCGCUAGGGGUGAAAUCCUAUGAUUGAUCAAAGACAAACUACUGCGAAAGCAUUUGACAAGGAUGUUUUCAUUGAUCAAGAACGAAAGUUAGGGGAUCGAAGAUGAUUAGAUACCGUCGUAGUCUUAACCAUAAACAAUGUCGACUUUGGAUUAGAAAAUAUUACAUGGAUGAUUUUCCUAGCACAAUAUGAGAAAUCAUAAGUAUUCAGACUCCGGGGGGAGUAUGGUCGCAAGAGUGAAACUUAAAGGAAUUGACGGAAGGGCACCACCAGGAGUGGAACCUGCGGCUUAAUUUGACUCAACACGGGGAAACUUACCGGGUCCGGACACUUUGAGGAUUGACAGAUUGAUAGCUCUUUCUUGAUUAAGUGGUUGGUGGUGCAUGGCCGUUUUUAGUUGGUGGAUUGAUUUGUCUGGUUAAUUCCGAAAACGAACGAGACCUUAACCUAUUAAAUAGUAUAAUUAAAAUUGAAUGCAAAUUCUUGAAAUUUGAAAAAAAAGAUUGGAUACUUCUUAAAGGAACUCUUCAUAUUUUAGUGAAUGGAAGUUUAAGGCAAAAACAGGUCUGUGAUGCCCUUAGAUGUUCCGGGCUGCACGCGCGUUACACUGAUGCGAUCAAAGAGUUUAAUUUAAAUUUCCUUAUUUGAAAAGAUUGGGUAAACUUUAAAAUCGUAUCGUGAUUGGGAUAGUGCUUUGUAAUUAUCGCACUUGAACGAGGAAUUCCUAGUAGGUGCAAGUCAUCAUCUUGCUCCGAUUACGUCCCCGCCCUUUGUACACACCGCCCGUCGCUCCUACCGAUUGAAUAAUCCGAUGAGGAUUCAGGAUAGAGGAUUUUUAUUUGUCUGAAAGGAUAUUUAAAGAUUUUUUAAAAUUUAUUCAAAUCUUAUUAUUUAGAGGAAGGAGAAGUCGUAACAAGGUUUCCGUUGGUACCAGCGGAAG